CAGCAGCCACGGUAAUACGUAGGCAGCGAGCGUUGUUCGGAAUUACUGGGCGUAAAGAGUGCGUAGGCGGUGCUCUAAGUCUGUCGUGAAAUCUCCCGGCUUAACUGGGAGGGUGCGGCGGAAACUGGAAUGCUCGAGUAUGGGAGAGGUAAGCGGAAUUCCUGGUGUAGCGGUGAGAUGCGCAGAUAUCAGGAGGAACACCUGUGGUGUAGACAGCUUACUGGACCAUGACUGACGCUGAGGCACGAAAGCGUGGGUAGCAAACAGGAUUAGAUACCCCCGUAGUCCCUGUCUCUUAUAC
rnacentral:rRNA from 1 species